UACAGAGGUCUCAAGCGUUGUUCGGAUUCAUUGGGCGUAAAGGGUGCGUAGGCGGCGGGGUAAGUCAGGUGUGAAAUCUCGGGGCUCAACCCCGAAACUGCACUUGAUACUGCCUCGCUUGAGUACUGGAGAGGAGAUUGGAAUUCACGGUGUAGCAGUGAAAUGCGUAGAUAUCGUGAGGAAGACCAGUGGCGAAGGCGGAUCUCUGGACAGUUCCUGACGCUGAGGCGCGAAGGCCAGGGGAGCAAACGGG
rnacentral:rRNA from 1 species